AGAUCGCCGCCAUCAUGGACACGAGUCGCGUGCAGCCCAUCAAGCUGGCUAGGGUAACCAAAGUGCUGGGCAGGACCGGUUCGCAGGGACAGUGCACGCAGGUGCGAGUGGAAUUUAUGGAUGACACCAGCCGCUCUAUCAUCCCAAAUGUCAAAGGCCCCGUUCGAGAGGGUGACGUGCUCACCCUAUUGGAGUCAGAAAGAGAAGCUCGAAGGUUGCGUUGAUCUUGCAGCUGGGUUCUGGAUAUCCACUACUUAGACCACGGAAUGAUCUGCAACUGUUAAAUAAAACAUUUAUAUU